rnacentral:lncRNA from 1 species
AUGGGUCUAGACAUUGCGCUUUUCCAAAUGGAGUAUAAGCAACUUGGCUAUAGUGGAUUACCAGCUUUCUACACAAGCCUGUUUAAGGUCUGGGGAUUGUUUACCCAUCGGUGGUGUGAUGCUUUAUCCUCCCUGCAUUGGCUGUUUGAGGAGCCCAUUGUGUUUGGGGCUCGGCUGGACGUGUCUGGUGUGGACAUGCCUGGUCUCACGGGUUUGCUCUGCACAAAAAAAGCCGUACAACUGCGUCACAUUGUCUACAAGGCGGGUGGUGAUUUACAAAAUGCAAAGGCAGUAGCCUCUUUCCUAGGGAUAAAAUCCACAAGGUAUGUGGAAAGAUUUCUUUGCAAACUUGCUGGGGUUCUCAAUCUUCAAGAGAGAGGUCUUCUGGAGGAUUAUGCCAAUGGCAGUGCCUUCUGCAAUAACAAUGAUGUAAUUCCAAACAUCGAAAUCACACCAGCUUUGCUUGAGACAGGUCACGUAAAUCCCUUGCUAGAGGUUGGGGAACUUGAACAAUGUGAUUUUUUUUCUGUUACAGGGAAGGUUCUAUAUAAAAACCUAGUCAAAGUGAUAAAUAAGAAUUCCUUGAAGGGGAGAAUGGACACUGUUUGGAGAGUGAAACUUGGCAUUGGAUUACAAACUAAGCCAGUGUGGAGAACGAUCUAUAAAACUCCACUGAAUAAAAGAACUGGGGACCUGCAAUGGCGAAUCCUACAUGGGGCCAUUGCAGUCAAUGCUUUAACUUCGGCAAUGAACCCCACAGUAUGUGACAGGUGUCCAUUCUGCCUGGAAAGAGAGACAAUUUAUCACUGUUUCAUGGAAUGUUUCAGACUUGGUCCUUUAUUUAGCAUGUUAAGUGUUAUGUUUCUUUCUUUGGGGACAGUGUUCACCAAACAGGGUUUUAUCUUUGGAUUCACGUAUAAUAGGAUGCAGAGGUCAAAGUGUCAGCUCAUUAAUUUUAUUAUUGGGCAAGCUAAACUUGCGGUCUACCUGAGCAGGAAAAACAUGGUGCAACGGAAACCAGGGGAAAUUAUUCCGGUUUUCAAGAACUUAAUAAAGUCUAGGAUUCUUAUUGAUUUUCAUUUUUAUAAAUUAAUGAGUGCAAUUGAGGUCUUUGAGGAUCUGUGGUGUUAUCAUGGUGCUCUGUGUUCUGUGUUAAAUGAUGAUUUAUUUUUCGCUCCUUUGUUGGAAUAA